CAGCCGCCGCGGUAAUACGGAGGGUGCAAGCGUUAAUCGGAAUUACUGGGCGUAAAGCGCACGCAGGCGGUUUGUUAAGUCAGAUGUGAAAUCCCCGAGCUUAACUUGGGAACUGCAUUUGAAACUGGUAAGCUAGAGUCUUGUAGAGGGGGGUAGAAUUCCAGGUGUAGCGGUGAAAUGCGUAGAGAUCUGGAGGAAUACCGGUGGCGAAGGCGGCCCCCUGGACAAAGACUGACGCUCAGGUGCGAAAGCGUGGGGAGCAAACAGGAUUAGAUACCCGUGUAGUCCCUGUCUCUUAUAA
rnacentral:rRNA from 1 species